AUCGAACGCUGGCGGCAGGCCUAACACAUGCAAGUCGAGCGAGCGGAGGACGGGUGGGUAAUGUCUGGGGAAUGCCCGAUAGAGGGGGAUAACUGCGGGAAACGGCAGCUAAGACCGCAUACUAUCGGAUAACCCAUAUGGUAUUAGCUAGUAGGUGGGGUAAUGGCUCACCUAGGCGACGAUCCCUAGAUGGUCUGAGAGGAUGAUCAGCCACACUGGGACGGAGACACGGCCCAGACUCCUACGGAGGCAGCAGUGGGGAAUAUUGCACAAUGGGCGAAAGCCUGAUGCAGCCAUGCCGCGUGUAUGAAGAAGGACCUAGGGUUGUAAAGCACUUUCAGUCGGGAGGCGUUACCGACAGAAGAAGCCCCGGCUAACUCCGUGCCAGCAGCCGCGGUAAUAC
rnacentral:rRNA from 1 species